GCGGCCAUGCCGCACGUCGACUCCAGCCCUCUUCCAGCCGUGCCCUCCUCCCGCUGCGCCCUCCUUUGCUUCUGCUCUCCUCGAUCUCGUGGCGCCGUACAGUCUCCGUCUGCCCCCUGCUCUCCUCGGCCUCACGCCGCCGUACAGCCUCCAUCCGCCCUUGCUCUUCCUCGGCCUUGCGCCGCCAUGCAGCCUCCGAGCAGCUGCGACAACGGCCAGGUCCUGGCGGCGGCGGCUUCCGGCUAUUCACUCGGACCAACCACUCUGCUCUGAAUCUACUCAUCUGCUAUCCCGGUGUACUGCUGCAUCCUCCGCCGCCUUGCACUUGCGCCGGGGUGCUCUUGGCGUGCAGGGGCUGGCCAGCUCCUUCCUGGUGGCUUCGCACCCGCGAUUCAGUGGUGGCACUAUGAGAUACAAGAAGGGGCGACAACUAUAGUUUCUUUGGCAUAAUGAAACGAGCGGCCAUAAUUGCUACUGGCUGUAUGGGGUGAACCAAAAGCGGUGGGGGAGAGAGAUCAGAGCACGGCAUGUCGAGGAAGCCUGCAACUUCACACGGAGACGUGGUGGUGCUGCUACUCUCAACCCAAAUCAGAUCGAACUCGCCCCAGCCCAAAUCGAGUCACUUGUCCUCGGAUUGAACUUUCCAAUUCAUCCUUUCUACUUCCCCUAGUGCAUCGAGGGCAUGCGGCAGACGGGCCAUGCAUCUUCCUUACAGGCAAACAAUGCCAUCACAGCAGCCUCAAUCAGUUCUGAUUUCAUCAGCUUCCCAGGACCUGCUGGAUUUAACAGUCCAUCAUUUGCUACAGCAGAAGAACAAUCAGGUAUUAGUACAAAGAAAUAAUGAGUACUGUUGCUCCAGUUAUUACAAUAUCUAUGCAAAAAAAAAAACAUGUGACUGCACAUCAUGCUACUUUCUUUCCUGGUACUUUCUCCUUAUCCAUGGAAACCCAACAUGUAGCAUACCCUGCCUUCUCCCACAGCUGCCACUAUAUAUAAGUAAUUUGCUUAUUGAAUAAUUAUUUAAGAGACAAGCACCUCUAUUAGUAACACAGUUGUAAUUGGAUGGUAUACUAGAAAGUGCAUGAAUGCUGCCUCAAGCUUAUUUUUUCAUCUCAUUCAUAUCUAUUUAGUUGUAUACCGUGCUAUAGAUACAUAUUGGUUCCCUGCUGCAUGUAAAUUUGAUUAGGAUACAAUGAAAUUUCUUAUAAAUCUACUACCAGUCAAUAUUUAUUAACAAAAGAGCUUCAUUUCUAACCAUUUACAACCAAAGCUUAUCCUGCUCAGCAAUUUCGGUACUGAACUCAUGCUUUCAGCUGAAAAGGAACUUGAGAAGUCGUUUGGUACAAACAAGAACAAACAAGUGAUGACAGCUACAAUGCUGAUCCAGAUGAGGACUACUACACUGUAGACUGACCGAGAACCAGCUGAAUGGAAACAUUGAUGCUGAUAUCUAAUUUUGAGCCCCCUAUUUUUUUUAUGUUACAACUGCUGCCUUCUGAUGCCCUCAUUGCGGUGUUAAGCUUAAUGAGAACCUGCUGUCAUUCUUUUUGGGUUGUUUUUCUUCUCAAAUUUGGAAUAGGUAACACUGUAUGUCCUUACACAUGAAGUUGAUUGUGAACAAUAGGAGCAAGCAAUUCAGUUCCUUUAUUGUCCCUAUAAUACCUUGACAUUAUUCCUCUUUUAUUUAAUGAAUGCGAGUAAUUUUAGUUAGUAUUGUUAA